GACGAACGCUGGCGGCGUGCUUAACACAUGCAAGUCGAACGGGAAACCUCUUAUUGAAUCUUCGGCAGAUUUAGCUGGCGUCUAGUGGCGGACGGGUUAGUCACGCGUGGGUAAUCUGCCUUAUACAGGGGGAUAACAGUCAUAAAUGGCUGCUAAUACCGCAUAAGCGCACAGAGCUGAAUGGCUCAGCGUGAAAAACUCCGGUGGCAUGAUAUGGACCCGCGUUGGAUUUGCUGGUUGGUGGUGUAACGGCCCGCCAAGGCGACGAUGCAGGGCCGGGCGGGGAGGGGGAACGGCCAGAUUGGGACUGAGACACAGCCCAGACUCCUACGGGGGGGAGCGGUGGGGAAUAUUGCACAAUGGGGGAAGACCUAAUGCAGCGGCGCCGCGUGAAGGAAGAAGUGGCUCGGUAUGUAAACUUCUAUCAGCAGGGGAGAGAAUGACGGUACCUGACUAAGAAGCCCCGGCUAACUACGUG
rnacentral:rRNA from 1 species